GAUGAACGCUGGCGGCGGGCCUAAUACAUGCAAGUCGAGCGAACGGACGAGAAGCUUGCUUCUCUGAUGUUAGCGGCGGACGGGUGAGUAACACGUGGAUAACCUACCUAUAAGACUGGGAUAACUUCGGGAAACCGGAGCUAAUACUGGAUGAUAUUUUGAACCGCAUGGUUCAAAAGUGAAAGACGGUAUUGCUGUCACUUAUAGAUGGAUCCGCGCUGCAUUAGCUAGUUGGUAAGGUAAUGGCUUACCAAGGCAACGAUGCAUAGCCGACCUGAGAGUGAGAUCGGCCACACUGUAACUGAGACACGUUCCAGACUCCUACGGGAGGCAGCAGUAGGGAAUCUUCCGCAAUGGACGAAAGCCUGACGGAGCAACGCCGCGUGAGUGAUGAAGGUCUUCUGAUCGUAAAACUCUGUUAUUCGGGGAGAACAUAUGUGUAAGUAACUGUGCACAUCUUGACGGUACCUAAUCAGAAAGCCACGGCUAACUACGUG
rnacentral:rRNA from 1 species